GAUGAACGCUAGCUACAGGCUUAACACAUGCAAGUCGAGGGGAAACGGCAUUUAGUGCUUGCACCGAAUGGACGUCGACCGGCGCACGGGUGAGUAACGCGUAUCCAACCUACCCAUUACCGUGGGAUAACCUGCCGAAAGGCAGACUAAUACCGCAUAGUCUUCGAUGACGGCAUCAGAUUUGAAGUAAAGAUUUAUCGGUAAUGGAUGGGGAUGCGUCUGAUUAGCUUGUUGGCGGGGUAACGGCCCACCAAGGCAACGAUCAGUAGGGGUUCUGAGAGGAAGGUCCCCCACAUUGGAACUGAGACACGGUCCAAACUCCUACGGGAGGCAGCAGUGAGGAAUAUUGGUCAAUGGACGAGAGUCUGAACCAGCCAAGUAGCGUGCAGGAUGACGGCCCUAUGGGUUGUAAACUGCUUUUGUAUGGGGAUAAAGUCAAUCACGUGUGAUUGUUUGCAGGUACCAUACGAAUAAGGACCGGCUAAUUCCGUGCCAGCAGCCGCGGUAAUACGGAAGGUCCGGGCGUUAUCCGGAUUUAUUGGGUUUAAAGGGAGCGUAGGCCGGAGAUUAAGUGUGUUGUGAAAUGUAGACGCUCAACGUCUGACUUGCAGCGCAUACUGGUUUCCUUGAGUACGCACAACGUUGGCGGAAUUCGUCGUGUAGCGGUGAAAUGCUUAGAUAUGACGAAGAACUCCGAUUGCGAAGGCAGCUGACGGGAGCGCAACUGACGCUUAAGCUCGAAGGUGCGGGUAUCGAACAGG
rnacentral:rRNA from 1 species